UAAACUCCUCUGUUCGAUGACACCAUGUUCCUUUUUAUUCGGAGAUACAGCGCUGUUGACAGACUGUCGUGACACAGGGAAAACUGAAACGUAGAAUCGGCUGGGCUGGAACCCCAUUCUGAAAUAUCAAAGAGACAAGAAAAUACUCUGCAGAUGCUGGGUCAAAGCAACACUCACAACAUGCUGGAGGAACUCAGCAGGCAGCCACGAAACAAACACCAUGAAACCCGUUCAAAGAAAACAUCAAAUAUUCAACAGACAAAGGAAAAGAACAAAUCGUGCAAGUCACAAAAAUGAGUGAACAACACAGACUAAACAUCAAACUACAGAGUAAUUAAACCAGUGUAGGAAUGUUCAGUUCAGUUCAAUUCAUGAGAACCUCAAAGUCCCCCCCAGCUCCCCCACCCACAUGUAAGCGGCAGCCAGGCCACAGAGCCUAUCUGCCCCGAUCAAAUCAUACAAAAUAACAACAACAUAGGAGUAACCAGAAACCAGAAACACAUAUAAUAUGAACCGUAGUCACCUCAUUGAUUACAAUCUUGCUCAAUGCUUUAAUCGGUGAGAGCAGUGAGAAAUUGAGCCAGUCAUUCUUUGUGCUCUGCCAUACGGCCACACACUCCAUUCUGAACCUUGUGACCCUGGGCCACGUCGAAUUCCUUCGGAGGCUGCAAAACCGCUCAGUCGGCCCAAACACACAUUAUCAAAAUGUAAAUUACGGGCUCCAAUCGCACACAGAUUAGCAGUAGAGGUAUGUUUAACAGAAGAAGAAGAAGAAGUAAUUUUGUAAACUGUAUGCAGGAUGUUGCCGUUUGUCACUGGUGCACAAACUACAGACUUCCUUUCAGAGACUGAUCUCUUGUUCUCAAUAUCUAUUGCUUAUUUAUUAAUUUUUUUUUGUUUUUUUUGUUGUUUCUUUGUACUUACUGUGAGUGCCCACAAAAAAAUAAAUUUCGGGUUUGUAUUUGGUGACAUAUACGUACUUUGAUAAUAAAUUUACUGUGAACUUUUUUUGAACAGAAGGGUUGUCUUAUCACAUGCUUAUCAUUGCCUCCCUUUGUGCUCUUUUCAAUAACUGCUGCAGUGUUUGUUUGCACAACUGCCUUUGUCAUUUCAAAACCAAAAGCCUCUUUGUAAAUUACACGUAAAAUAUCAGACAAAUCGAUAUAAUUGCAAAAUUAGGGACCAUCAUUUAACCAGAGAUGUGUAAGAACUUCUUGCAGUGGGUGAUGAACUCUGGAAUUUUCUACCCGGUGGUGGGGGCUGUGUAGACUAAAUUGUCAGGAAUAUUUAAAAGAGGAAAUGAAUACAUUUUUCAAAGAUCAUGGAAUUGAUAGAUGUAAGGAACUGGGAUAGGAGUUGAAGCCUAGAGCAGGUCCACCACCAUCAUAUUUCAUGGCGCAUGCCGGUGAUAAUAAACCUGAUGCUGGUUUAAUAGUGGCCCAUACCUUCUAUUUUCAUACAUCCUUAAACUAUUACUCUUGCCAAUUUCCAGGAGGUUCUUGUGACCUACUCCAGGAAGUUGGAUGACGGGGGGAGGAUCGAGGGUUGGUGUCACGGCCGGGGACUUGUGUGUCGUAGGGGAGGCCGGAAAAUCUUUCGCUGUGGGCCCAAAGAUCCGCGGUUUCUGCGAUCUUCGGACACAGAGCUUGAAAAAAGCGACAAAAU